GCGUAAAGGGCUCGCAGGCGGUUUCUUAAGUCUGAUGUGAAAGCCCCCCCCUCAACCGGGGAGGGUCAUUGGAAACUGGGGAACUUGAGUGCAGAAGAGGAGAGUGGAAUUCCACGUGUAGCGGUGAAAUGCGUAGAGAUGUGGAGGAACACCAGUGGCGAAGGCGACUCUCUGGUCUGUAACUGACGCUGAGGAGCGAAAGCGUGGGGAGCGAACAGGAUUAGAUACCCUGGUAGUCCACGCCGUAAACGAUGAGUGCUAAGUGUUAGGGGGUUUCCGCCCCUUAUUGCUGCAGCUAACGCAUUAAGCACUCCGCCUGGGGAGUACGGUCGCAAGACUGAAACUCAAAGGAAUUGACGGGGGCCCGCACAAGCGGUGGAGCAUGUGGUUUAAUUCGAAGCAACGCGAAGAACCUUACCAGGUCUUGACAUCCUCUGACAAUCCUAAAGAUAGGACGUCCCCUUCGGGGGCAGAGUGACAGGUGGUGCAUGGUUGUCGUCAGCUCGUGUCGUGAGAUGUUGGGUUAAGUCCCGCAACGAGCGCAACCCUUGAUCUUAGUUGCCAGCAUUCAGUUGGGCACUCUAAGGUGACUGCCGGUGACAAACCGGAGGAAGGUGGGGAUGACGUCAAAUCAUCAUGCCCCUUAUGACCUGGGCUACACACGUGCUACAAUGGACAGAACAAAGGGCAGCGAAACCGCGAGGUUAAGCCAAU
rnacentral:rRNA from 1 species